rnacentral:snRNA from 1 species
GGAUGCAAGGGCAAUCUGGCUACAACAUAUGUCAUCUCCUUGGUCACUGGAGUUAAGGUGAUCUGGCAGGCUGGGGAAAUGGCCUAUACUACCCUCACCACUCCAUGUGCACCCCUCCUCAAGAUGCACUCUCAUUUCAAGAGGACAGCCUUCCUUGACAGAGGAAGGUCAUUCCAUAGCUAUG